rnacentral:rRNA from 1 species
UACGAAGGGUGCAAGCGUUACUCGGAAUUACUGGGCGUAAAGCGUGCGUAGGUGGUUUGUUAAGUCUGCUGUGAAAUCCCCGGGCUCAACCUGGGAAUGGCAGUGGAUACUGGCAAGCUAGAGUGCGGUAGAGGGUAGUGGAAUUCCCGGUGUAGCGGUGAAAUGCGUAGAGAUCGGGAGGAACACCAGUGGCGAAGGCGGCUACCUGGACCAGCACUGACACUCAGGCACGAAAGUGUGGGGAGCAAACAGG